rnacentral:rRNA from 1 species
UAAUCAAUAAGCGGAGGAAAAGAAACCAACAGGGAUUGCCUUAGUAACGGCGAGUGAAGCGGCAAAAGCUCAAAUUUGAAAUCUGGCACCUUCGGUGUCCGAGUUGUAAUUUGAAGAAGGUAACUUUGGAGUUGGCUCUUGUCUAUGUUCCUUGGAACAGGACGUCACAGAGGGUGAGAAUCCCGUGCGAUGAGAUGCCCAAUUCUAUGUAAAGUGCUUUCGAAGAGUCGAGUUGUUUGGGAAUGCAGCUCUAAGUGGGUGGUAAAUUCCAUCUAAAGCUAAAUAUUGGCGAGAGACCGAUAGCGAACAAGUACAGUGAUGGAAAGAUGAAAAGAACUUUGAAAAGAGAGUGAAAAAGUACGUGAAAUUGUUGAAAGGGAAGGGCUUGAGAUCAGACUUGGUAUUUUGCGAUCCUUUCCUUCUUGGUUGGGUUCCUCGCAGCUUACUGGGCCAGCAUCGGUUUGGAUGGUAGGAUAAUGACUAAGGAAUGUGGCUCUACUUCGGUGGAGUGUUAUAGCCUUGGUUGAUACUGCCUGUCUAGACCGAGGACUGCGUCUUUGACUAGGAUGCUGGCAUAAUGACUUAAGCCACC